GACGAACUGUCCAAACGUUAUUCGGAAUCACUGGGCUUAAAGGGUGCGUAGGCGGACCUGCAAGUGGGAUCUGAAAUCCCUCGGCUCAACCGAGGAACUGGGUCCCAAACUGCCGGACUAGAGUGAGACAGGGGUAAGUGGAACUUGCGGUGGAGCGGUGAAAUGCUUUGAUAUCGCAAGGAACACCGGUGGCGAAGGCGACUUACUUGGUCUUAACUGACGCUGAAGCACGAAAGCCAGGGUAG
rnacentral:rRNA from 1 species